CCUACGGGAGGCAGCAGUGAGGAAUAUUGGUCAAUGGACGAGAGUCUGAACCAGCCAAGUAGCGUGAAGGAUGACUGCCCUAUGGGUUGUAAACUUCUUUUAUAAAGGAAUAAAACGAGGCACGUGUGCCUUUUUGCAUGUACUUUAUGAAUAAGGAUCGGCUAACUCAGUGCAAGCAGCCGCGGUAAUACGGAGGAUCCGAGCGUUAUCCGGAUUUAUUGGGUUUAAAGGGAGCGUAGAUGGGUUGUUAAGUCAGUUGUGAAAAUUUGCGGCUCAACCGUAAAAUUGCAAUUGAUACUGGCAGUCAUGAGUACAGUUGAGGUAGGCGGAAUUCGUUGUGUAGCGGUGAAAUGCUGAGAUAUCACGAAGAACCCCGAUUGCGAAGGCAGCUUACUAAACUGUGACUGACAUUGAUGCUCGAAAGUGUGGGUAUCAAACAGGAAUAGAUAGCCCAGUAGUC
rnacentral:rRNA from 1 species